rnacentral:rRNA from 1 species
AUUGAACGCGGGCGCCAUGCUUUACACAUGCAAGUCGAACGCCAGCGGAGAGUGCUUGCACUCUGCCGGCGAGUGGCGAACGGGUGAGUAACAUAUUGGAACGUACCGAGUAAAGGGGGAUAACUAUCCGAAAGGAUAGCUAAUACCGCAUACGCUUUGAGAAGGAAAGUGGGGGAUCUUCGGACCUCACGUUAUUCGAGCGGCCAAUAUCUGAUUAGCUAGUUGGUGGGGUAAAGGCCUACCAAGGCGACGAUCAGUAGCGGGUCUGAGAGGACGAUCCGCCACACUGGGACUGAGACACGGCCCAGACUCCUACGGGAGGCAGCAGUGGGGAAUUUUGGACAAUGGGCGCAAGCCUGAUCCAGCCAUGCCGUGUGUCUGAAGAAGGCCUUCGGGUUGUAAAGGACUUUUGUUAGGGAAGAAAAGAAAUGGGUUAAUACCCCAUUUUGCUGACG